GACGAACCGAGCAAACGUUAUUCGGAAUCACUGGGCUUAAAGGGCGCGUAGGCGGGCAUUCAAGUCCGCGGUGAAAUCCGGCAGCUCAACUGUCGAACUGCCGCGGAUACUGGGUGUCUCGAGGGAGGUAGGGGCGUGCGGAACUAUUGGUGGAGCGGUGAAAUGCGUUGAUAUCAAUAGGAACUCCGGUGGCGAAGGCGGCACGCUGGACCUCUUCUGACGCUGAGGCGCGAAGCCAGGGGAGCAAACGGG
rnacentral:rRNA from 1 species